GUUAUUUGCGCCCAGUCCUGGGCCGAUGCGGGGAGAGAGAGAAAGACGAAAGGAGCCUGCUGUCUGCCUCACCUGGAUGCUGGCGGCUGCAGCAGAGACAGGGGAGGGCAGAGUCCAGACGGGGAGGGCUGCUGAGGGCCCCCGCUCCCACUCUAGGCACCAAACUGGCCUCCAAACUGGAACUCUGAACCAGCCACACACACAAGCCACAUGUGUGCUUUGCAAGUUCCUAGUAGCCACAUUGAAAACACAUACCAAGAAAUUAGCUUUAAUAUUACAUUUAAUCCGAUAUAUCCCCAACUUUAUCAUGUUUGGUAUCCCAAACAUGUAAUCAAUAUAAAUAGUGAGAUGGAUAAUUCACAUUCCUUUUAUCAGAUCAAAUCUUUGAAAUUCAGUGUAUUUUUUGACAUUUACAGACUCUCUCCAUCGGACCCAGUCACGUUCCCUGCUCGCCUGCAGGGCGGGUCUAGAAUGAUUCGGCACUUUUGGAAAGCACCAGCCGAUGCCCCAGGCACGAAGGAAACAAAGGAAGGCUAGGAUGGUGCUGGCAGGUGAAUUGUCCACAGGAAGACCGGAGGCGGUGAAGAGGUGGGAGGAGCCAGGGAGAGAACCCGGCUGCCAGCGUGGCCAGGACCAGCUGAUGCCCGAAGACCACGGCUGAUACGCGUUCGCUGGGAACCCUCAGAAACACUUAGGAGGGGACUGAACUUACUGAAACCAAAUGUGGGGUGUGGACUUGAGUUAUUCUAUUCAGUUAGCAAGAGAAUGGUCACCUCUCAGUUAUCUGCAGAUUCGGGGACAUUCAGGUUACAUUGAAUUACUGUACUGAUAAUAAGUAACAUUCAUGGCAAAAUAAAACACUAUUUAGUUUGCA
rnacentral:lncRNA from 1 species